rnacentral:rRNA from 1 species
UCCGUAGGCGGGCAAUUAAGUCAGAGGUGAAAUCCCACAGCUCAACUGUGGAACUGCCUUUGAUACUGGUUGUCUUGAGUUAUAGUGAAGUAGAUAGAAUAUGUAGUGUAGCGGUGAAAUGCAUAGAUAUUACACAGAAUACCGAUUGCGAAGGCAGUCUACUAACUGUAUACUGACGCUAAUGGACGAAAGCGUGGGGAGCGAACAGGAUUAGAUACCCUGGUAGUCC